GAAAACAAAAACAACUAAUCGUAUAAAACUAUUUGUUUCUUCUGAUGUCCCGGACUAAUGGGAUUCUUUUUUUUUUUUUUUUUUUUUUUCCAUCUUCUAUGCUCUCGUUAAUACAGAGUUCUCACUGAGGACUCAAACCACUGGACCCUGUUUGUCAUCUCCAUCAUUAUUAUUAGCAGGCAUAACAGAGAGCAGCAGCCUCUUGUUUUGAUCUCUUUUGCAACUGGCUACAGAGUCUGCACCUUAGAUUUAUUGAGAGAUUGAAAGAGCUUAGUGUAACUUCACACUUAGAGAAAUAAUUCAUAAUUGUUUUGUAGCAGCAUAUAAUUAUGAGGCUGGGCGUGGCCAGGAGCCAAUUAUGAUGGGGUCGUGGAUAAAAGAGCGGCCCCUCCUACGCCUCCUCCCUCUGUCUCCCGCUGGCGUAAUUUCCGGGACGUCCUGUGUGGCUGCAAGUUUUGCCAGUUUUGUAUUUGCGGGAGCCUUAACUAUUUCUUGUGCUGUGACAAAGGGGCUGUGGGUGGAUUCUGGCUCCAUGUGGUCUCCUUGUCUGGUGCGUAUCCUCUCUCGUUGUGCUGGAUCUCUCGUUAUCAGUAGUUUAAUGUAGUGUGGUCACAGGUAAAUGCUGGUAGCGGCUCGCUGCUCUUGCCUCGUCUCACUGGUUGCAUGAACAGGUGCUGUACCAUAAGGAUCAAGUCCAUCACCUCCAUUGGCUCCCUUCCGUCUGCAUGACCUCUGCUGCUUUGUCCUGCUUCAAGUUCCUGUCCGUCCGUGCAGCUGUUUCCCGGCUCGGGUUUGGCUGGCUCCGGCGUGCUGCGGUGCUUUGCUGCCGUCCGUCCUAUUGCGCUGGUCGCCCACCUGUGGUUGGGUCGUUCGCCUUCGCCGCGGCUCGUAGCAGCCCGUUCUCGGCUGCCAGCGUCCGCUCUUUUUUUAGUGAGGGUUUCGUGACCCCUUUUAUCUGGUUCACACUUUCGGAUUUCGUUUUUCAUUCAAUUCCGAUUGUGUUCAAUUGAUGCUGGCGAUUUGAUUUGUAUUACCAGUUUUAUCAUUUCAUCUGGUGAUAUUUUAACUUUGUAUCUUUGCUGAUUAUAUUUGGUGCUUUUCUUUUUGUUUCAGGGGCUGACGGCCUGUAGUGGUGUGGGUGAUCGUAGGAGAUUCUCCUGUCUGCUGUGCCGUUUCCAGGGAUGUGGGUCGUUCACGGGUGUGCUCUUUUCACGUGUGUCUGGGGGAACUUUUACUUUGGGGACCCCUCCUUUCGCUUGCCCUAGCUACUUUUAGGCCGAAGCCCUUGAUUAACUUUUGUUUUUGCAUUUUCUUUUGUUUGGAUCCUUUGUAUUAAUAAAAUAUUAUUGUGACUAA